rnacentral:rRNA from 1 species
AUUGAACGCUGGCGGCAGGCCUAACACAUGCAAGUCGAGCGGCAGCGGGAAAGUAGCUUGCUACUUUUGCCGGCGAGCGGCGGACGGGUGAGUAAUGCCUGGGAAAUUGCCCAGUCGAGGGGGAUAACAGUUGGAAACGACUGCUACUACCGCAUACGCCCUACGGGGGAAAGCAGGGGACCUUCGUGCCUUGCGCGAUUGGAUAUGCCCAGGUGGGAUUAGCUAGUUGGUGAGGUAAUGGCUCACCAAGGCGACGAUCACUAGCUGGUCUGAGAGGAUGAUCAGCCACACUGGAACUGAGACACGGUCCAGACUCCUACGGGAGGCAGCAGUGGGGAAUAUUGCACAAUGGGGGAAACCCUGAUGCAGCCAUGCCGCGUGUGUGAAGAAGGCCUUCGGGUUGUAAAGCACUUUCAGCGAGGAGGAAAGGUCAGUAGCUAAUAUCUGCUGACUGUGACGUUACUCGCAGAAGAAGCACCGGCUAACUCCGUGCCAGCAGCCGCCGUAAUAC